rnacentral:SRP_RNA from 1 species
GCCAGGCAUUGUGGUGGGCACCUGUGGUCCCAGCUACUUGGGAGGCAGAGGCAGAAGACUCGCUUGAGCCCAGGAGUUGGAGGUUGCUGUGAGCUGAGAUGCCAUGGCACUCUACCCAGGGGGACAGCUUGAGGCUCCUGUCUCAAAAAAAAAAAAAAAAAAAAAAGUUCAUUUUUAAAAGAGGGGGAGAGGCAUGAAUUUUGAAAUCAUGUAGACCUGUGUAUUUUUUUUUUUUUUUUUUUUUGAGACAGAGCCUCAAGCUGUCCCCCUGGGUAGAGUGCCAUGGCAUUACAGCUCACAGCAACCUCCAACUCCUGGGCUCAAGCGAGUCUCCUGCCUCCG